AUUAUCGGAGUAUGGAUGCUGACUUCCAGCUAAUCAAGAAUGGUUGUAAGGCUCUGUGUCUGCCGACAGACAGAAGCGCUGCGCCGAUUAUGCAAAGCUGAGGACAGAGAAGGACAAAUGUAUUAUGCAAAUGUGCGAUUGUGCUCGAGCACUAUUUCGCACUCUAUUCCACGUAUAAGGAUUACUGCGCAGGACAAGGACAAAGAUAUGUCGCGGGCGCAGGCCACGCCCAUCACCUAUCACCUAGUUGCUCUCCCCACCACUCGAAUCGGCCUGCCAUUGCGAGAGGAUAUCAUUUCGUUUUCGACUGCGGCGGUGUACGGUGUACGGUGUACGGCUAGAAGGGUCUCGGCGAAAUGGACGUAGCCGACCGGCUUGUUGCUGUUUGUAAUUGUGCCCUUGUCAAGUCUAAUUUACAUGAAAAAUUGGAACUGAUGCAGCACCGUUUACAGGAGAAAAGAUAUAAUCCUCACUCGAAUAAUACAAUAUACCUUUAGUGCAUUUGGUCCAAAUGGAUUGGCUUGAAUAACUAAACACGUCAAGACGAGAACUGUUGGAAGAAAACCAGGCAAAUCAGAGGAUGUAUGAUGACAAAUCCUAGAAUUACUAGUAAAUGGCUACCUAAUCAAAGACUUUGAAUCAAAUAUAGAGAAUACCGGCAAUGCAAAACAAGGAAUAUUAGAAAAACAUCAUCAGCUAUGAAAUAUGCUGCAGCUGGCUGCUACUGCAAUUCUUGGUGAACUCUCAAAAUAAAUGGAAGGCUCUCGUGCUUCUUGAUAGUGAAGGUUUCGAAAUAGACAAUGGAAUUUAGUAAAGAUGGAAAGUGUUUGAACAUCAUCGUGCUCUGCCAAGGGCCUAAUCAGGGAAGACAAAUGAAUUCGGAAGUGACAUUGUCUACGGCAGAGCUUUAGAAGCAACAUUAUCUCUGCAUGGCAGCAAUAGUGACCAUAAGUCCUUUGCGAUCACUAUGCAAAGGCCAAGUGUAUCAGGACUUAAUCGGGGAUCUGUUUAUUAAACUCUUUGCUGCCUGCAGCCUUUGUGUUGUCAGUGAGGAUAAAAGUAUGAAGUAAGAUGUGACAUUAUGGACUUGCCGACAUACAUAUUGUGGAAUAUGUGCAUUCUUGAAGGAAAUAACAAGGAUGCUCUGCAAUUCCUACAGUGAAUGAAACAAUAUGGACUUGCCGAUAUACAUAUUGUGGAACAUGUGCAUUUUUGAAAGAAAUAACAAGGGUGAUGCUCUACAAAUCGUACAGUGAAUCAAACAAUGUGGACUUGUCGACAUGCAUAUUGGGAAAUAUGUGCAUUCCUGAAGAAAAUAACGUGACAAGCAAUCGUGGGCCCUAACUGAAGAGAACCAUUUCAAAGAAAGGAACCAAUGUAUUCUUACCGUAGGAUUUCAAAGAGGCUGCUGCUUUUAUUAAAUUAGAAAUAAUGGAUUGGCUUGAAUAACUAAACACGUCAAGACAAGAACUAUUGGAAGAAAACCAGGCAAACCAGAGGAUGUAUGAUGACAAAUCCUAGAAUUACUAGUAAAUGGCUACCUAAUCAAAGACUUUGAAUCAAAUAUAGAGAAUACCGGCAAUGCAAAACAAAGAAUAUUAGAAAAACAUCAUCAGCUAUGAAAUAUGCUGCAGCUGGCUGCUACUGCAAUUCUUGGUGAACUCUCAAAAUAAAUGGAAGGCUCUCGUGCUUCUUGAUAGUGAAGGUUUCGAAAUAGAUAAUGGAUGGAAGAGACAAACCAUAUGAGUAGUACUACAUAUAUGAUACAAAAUUUAAUGCAAUUUAUUUUAUAUUCCAGUUGGAAGUGAUGACAAUACAGCCAUAGACUUUACUGUUAUGGUUUAAUAGCACAAUUGCGAUGAUGCAAAUUCCUUGCAGUGAGUAAUGCCUUCCAGAUACAGUUCAUCCUGUGCCUCUUUUUUAACCACUGGAAAAGGUAUUUCAUGGAAUAUAAUAUUUCAAAUGUACUAUUAAAUAAGUUUGGUUGUCUGUUAAAAA